rnacentral:tRNA from 1 species
GAUUCUGUAGUGAAAUUCAUGAUGAGUUGCAAACUCAUAGAUGCACGGUUAAAGUGUGCCGGAAUCU